CAUGUAGGCGGUCUGUUAAGUCUGGUGUGAAAGCCCGGGGCUCAACCCCGGAAGUGCAUUGGAUACUGGCAGACUUGAGUAUGGGAGAGGAAGGCGGAAUUCCGAGUGUAGGAGUGAAAUCCGUAGAUAUUCGGAGGAACACCAGUGGCGAAGGCGGCCUUCUGGACCAAUACUGACGCUGAGAUGCGAAAGCGUGGGGAGCGAACAGGAUUAGAUACCCUGGUAGUCC
rnacentral:rRNA from 1 species